UUUGAUAGCUCAUUCAUACGACUGCUUGCUACUACCAUGCUUAGUGGGAAGAAACUUGCCCAAGCAUUGGUGAGCGUAGAUAUUAUUUGUAAUAUGAUUUUCAUAUUCAACUAAUGGAAUUCAAUUUGAUUGAACAUCUUUUUAGCUCCCUACUAAGAAAAGUGCUAUUGCAAAACCGCAAGUGAAAACAAUAGAUGGGGUGGAACAAUCGAAGGAUUUUGUUGAGAUUGAAGAUGCUGAGAUAAUUAAAACUCCAAUUCUAUUUUUUUUUUUGAAUUAAAGACCACUUGUUUUAUUUUACAUGGAAUUAAAUUACAAAGAUGGAAAAAAAAAGCUAAUGUAGAAUAAUUAUUCAAUAAAUCUUUUGGGUAUAUUUCGUUGAUUGCGAAAUGAGUUUAGAGAAAAUUGAAGGAAGAUUGGGAUCACACGUAAAGGUGGAAAUUAUUGGAUGGAAGGUAAUGAAUCCUUCCACAAAACCUUCACUUACUCUAAUUGAAGCUACAACAUUGGGAGAAGUCGACAAAGGAAUUAGGGAGCUGAAAAAUGAUCCUCUUGUAGAAUUGCUUUCACCAAAAUGGAUUUUCACUUCUGCAUAUACAACCAAGUGAAAUCUUUUUGUUAGAGGAGGCUGGUGUAUUGGUGUGCAAGGUUGCCUGUUUGAAUGAGUAGAAUUGGCAGCUAGUGGCUUUCUCCAGACAGCUCUUGAUUUUGUUUGGACUGUCCAUAGGUUUCCUUCCUCUUCCAAUUUCCUAUCUUGAAUAAUUGCAGGAGCAUCUACUUUGAGAGCAAUAGAGGCAAUUGUUACUUAACCUGAAAUCAGACAUUGCAGUAAAUCUUCUAAUCCAUAUCAAGAGUCUACCAAGGAGAAGCGUCGUUCACAAAUAGCUCAAGGCGUCUAAGUUGUGCAACCUUCUUCUAAAAGCUGUAUGGAAUGCUCCUGCAUUAGGUGACUCAUCAUGCAUUAUAUAUCCAUAUUGUUUACAAUAAAAUCGUGGGAUGCUUACGAGAAGAGGAUUAUAUUAGUGACCUGUAAGUAUCCAUCAUGGGUACCAUUAAGUUUUUAUGUUUAAAGUUUUAUUCAUGAUAGACAUAACCUAUUUUGUUUUAUUUACGGC